GCUAGUGUGUAAUACGGUGUAAUGAGUCGGGCGGUGCUUAAAGAGCAAUGUGCAGGUUCAAUUCAUAACUGAAUUAAUAGUAAUUUAUUGUGUUUGUGCUGGUUGCACAAAGUCCAGUCUGUCAGGAAAUCGUGUACAUCAUUUUCCUUGUAGGAAAAGUAAGGUUUUUCGUUUUUGGGUGCGUUUUGUGCAGGUGAAGUGAGCAGGCUUCACUGCCGCGUCUGUCACCACACACUCGGUCGUUUGUGGUGCUCAUUUCACUCCGGAGAGUUAUAGACCUGGAGAUUUGUUGGAGUCUUGGAUGGGAUUUUGGAGUAAGGACAAUGUGAGGCUGAUUACCGAUGCUGUUCCCUCGGUGCACUCGAUGGAAUCAAGUCCACCACCAUCAAAGCUUUCACCUGAAUCUGGCGCGGGCAGGACUGGAGGACCAAAUGCUAGCUAGCUAGCACUUGCAGAAAUUCCUGCACCGAAAAAGAGCUCUUAGCAGAAUUUUGGCAGAGUGCAGCCAGUAAUGAAGGGAUAGAUGCACCUAUCACUGUAGAUUUUGAAGAGACAGAGGGCUUCUCUCUACAGGAUCCUGGACCAUUAGUGCUUCAUCGUGGGUCACAGUGCAACAUCACAUGUCUGCAAUGCUCAUCAGUUUUCCUUGGACUUGGGUGGCCCUUAAAUCAUGGCUGCAGCUGUCGC